AACGGGGGGAGGGGCAGAGAGAGAAGGAGACAAAGAAUCGGAAGCAGGCUCCAGGCUCUGAGCUGUCAGCACAGAGCCCUACGCGGGGCUCGAACUCACGGACCUCGAGAUCAUGACCUGAGCUGGAGUCGGACGCUUAACCGACUGAGCCACCCAGGCGCCCCCCCAAAUCUAUAUUUUAAAAGGCCCACCAGUUGCUGUGUGGAAAUGGACUGUAUGGGGGGAAGAGCUUGAAGCAGGGGAGACUGGAGGCCUCCAGGAGAGAGAUGAGAUGCCCAGACUCAGCAACAGGACAAGCAAUCAAUCAUACGUAUCUGCUUUCCUGGACAAACAUUGUCUUCCAGUCCUGGUGAGGAGAAUCCUGAUGAUUUAACAGCUGGCUGGAGUCCUGUGUCGUCCAGCAUCUCUGCCAGUUUCUGCAGAAAGCCCUGAAGUGUGCCAAGGUUCCCGUGUCUGUGGAUACAACUCUAGUGGUGCCCACUCCCUUUGCUCCUUGCAGCCGCGAGAAGAACCGUGCAGGGGGAAGAGUCCAGGGAAUACGGAGCUUCAAACCAGAGCCCUUUGGGUACCUGUGGCCUUUGGAGUUGAGGACUGAGCACCUUCCAGAACUCUCUCAGAGGGAAGCAGUGCCUAGAGCUGAUUUCCAUCGUAGCAGGUAUGGAGAGGAAAUGGGCCUUUGGGUGGGCCAGCUUCCUCUUCAAGCUGAGGAAGGAAAAUGGAGAGUGGAAUGCCAGCAACCCAGGAAAGCCAAGGAAAUGACCCAAUUCUCUUGAGUUUGUGAAGUGUCCUGUGAGAAUUCUAGAAUUUCCAUGAAAAAAAUUCCUUGGGGUGCCUGGAUGGCUCAGUCAGUUGAGCAUCUGGCUCAGGUCAUGAUCUCUUGGUUCAUCAGUUUGAGCCUCCGCAUCCAGCCCUGCUUGGGAUUGUCUCUCCUUCUCACUACCCCUCCCUGCUUGUGCGCUCUCUCUCUCUCUCUCUCUCUCUCAAAAUAAAUUAACUUCAAAAAAAAUCCUGCACUUUCACCAACACUUUAGCGAGUGCCUGCUUUGCAUCUGUUACUAUGUUCUAGCAAGUGAGAUUGUCAUAAAACAGCCAGGGUUCCUGUCCUCACACUCUUACAUUCCAGUGGAGGAGACAGAUUUCAAACACAUCAUUGCAGAUGGCAGUGGGUUCUGAAGACAUGGUGGAGGUAACCGAGGAGUUAGCAACUGGGUUGAACCCCGGGAGGAGGAGGAACCAGGCAUGGAGCAAUCUACAGAAAAAGCCUUCUAGGCAGAAGUGAUAGCAAGGGCAAAGGCACUGAGGAAAGAGCAAGUUGUGAAAAUCUAAACAAGUCACUAAUUGUCACAGACUUUGAGGUGUGUAAUAUUAAAUGGAGAAAUGAAGGCAGCUUCUGAGACAAUAUCCAUGGUGGGCAUGAAAGGGUCCAAGGUACAGCCCCCAAAAGGCUAGUCUUUUCUUUAAUUGUUUAACUUUAUUACUGUUGCACCAUUUAUACAAUUACAUAUAACUUCAAUGCAUCCAUUGUAUUUUUUUUUUUUUUUUUU